rnacentral:lncRNA from 1 species
GUGGCGGCCGAGCAGCGGUGGCCGGGUAAGCUGCGACUGCGCUCACGACGGGCGACGGAGCCGCACGCUCGGUGAAUUUGUGUGAUGUGUGGUUGACACGAGGCGGAUGGUGUGUAAGGUCGUGAUCAUACUUUUAAUCUGGGCCAUUAAAUUUGUAGAAUAUGUGUUGUGAGUCGUUAAUCUUGCAGGUGGGAUUUGGCUGGAGA